rnacentral:rRNA from 1 species
AAACUGUUCAACUUGAAUACAGAAGAGGUAAGUGGAAUUCCAAGUGUAGCGGUGAAAUGCGUAGAUAUUUGGAGGAACACCAGUGGCGAAGGCGACUUACUGGUCUGUAAUUGACGCUGAGGCUCGAAAGCGUGGGUAGCAAACAGGAUUAGAUACCCUGGUAGUCCACGCCGUAAACGAUGAGUGCUAAGUGUUAGGGGGUUUCCGCCCCUUAGUGCUGGAGUUAACGCAUUAAGCACUCCGCCUGGGGAGUACGGCCGCAAGGCUGAAACUCAAAGGAAUUGACGGGGACCCGCACAAGCGGUGGAGCAUGUGGUUUAAUUCGACGCAACGCGAAGAACCUUACCAACUCUUGACAUCUUCUGAUCACCCUAGAGAUAGGGCUUUCCCUUCGGGGACAGAAUGACAGGUGGUGCAUGGUUGUCGUCAGCUCGUGUCGUGAGAUGUUGGGUUAAGUCCCAUAACGAGCGCAACCCUUAUUGUUAGUUGCCAGCAUUCAGUUGGGCACUCUAGCGAGACUGCCGGUGAUAAACCGGAGGAAGGUGGGGAUGACGUCAAAUCAUCAUGCCCCUUAUGAGUUGGGCUACACACGUGCUACAAUGGACGGUACAACGAGUAGCGAUCCCGCAAGGGUUAGCGAAUCUUAAUAAGCCGUUCUCAGUUCGGAUUGUUCUCUGCAACUCGAGAGCAUGAAGCCGGAAUCGCUAGUAAUCGCGGAUCAGAAUGCCGCGGUGAAUACGUUCCCGGGUCUUGUACACACCGCCCGUCACACCACGAGAGUUUGUAACACCCGAAGCCGGUUGGCCAACCUUUAUGGAGGCCGCUGUCGAAGGUGGGAUGGAUGAUUGGGGUGAAGUCGUAACAAGGUAGCCGUA